rnacentral:tRNA from 1 species
GCCUGGGUGGCUCAGUCGGUUGAGCGUCCGACUUCGGCUCAGGUCGUGAUCUCCCGGUCCGUGAGUUCGAGCCCCACGUCGGGCU